rnacentral:rRNA from 1 species
UGGGGAAUAUUGCGCAAUGGGCGAAAGCCUGACGCAGCGACGCCGCGUGAGGGAUGAAGGUUUUCGGAUCGUAAACCUCUGUCAGAAGGGAAGAAACCGCACUGUGCUAAUCAGCAGUGCCUUGACGGUACCUUCAAAGGAAGCACCGGCUAACUCCGUGCCAGCAGCCGCGGUAAUACUGAGGGUGCAAGCGUUAAUCGGAAUUACUGGGCGUAAAGCGCACGUAGGCUGCUUUGUAAGUCAGGGGUGAAAUCCCACGGCUCAACCGUGGAACAGCCUUUGAUACUGCUUAGCUUGAAUCCGGGAGAGGGUGGCGGAAUUCCAGGUGUAGGAGUGAAAUCCGUAGAUAUCUGGAGGAACAUCAGUGGCGAAGGCGGCCACCUGGACCGGUAUUGACGCUGAGGUGCGAAAGCGUGGGGAGCAAACAGG